UUUGGGUCCCGCGCAAUGGGAAACCGUGAACCUCGUCAGGUCCGGAAGGAAGCAGCGAUAAGCGGAUCUUCACAUGUGCCGCGGAUCGGCCUUCUCCG
rnacentral:SRP_RNA from 1 species